UCGAAACCUGCCUAGCAGAACGACCAGCGAACAUGUUUACACGAUUCAUGGGGAGGGGUGCUGGCCUGUCUAGUGCCCUCCUCUACGUCGGGGGGUAGUCCUCUUGGAUUGCUUCCCGGCUCAACAACCAACCCCGGCGCGUUAUGCGUCAAGGAAUAGAAACAUGAUGUUACCACUCUAAGCCCGGGUCUCCGGUGCAUGGAUUUGGUACCUAAUCUUAAGUCAUAAAAUGA
rnacentral:misc_RNA from 1 species